CGGUAAUUCCAGCUCCAAUAGCGUACACUAAAGUUGUUGCAGUUAAAAAGCUCGUAGUUGGAUUUCUGCGGGGACGGAGCGGCCGGUCGCAACUUGCGACUCGAGCUAGCGCUUUCCCCGCAUCCUGCCGCGAACCGUGCUACCAUUAGUUUGGUGGCGCUGGGGAUCGGCUCGAUUACUUUGAGAAAGAUAGAGUGUUCAAAGCAGGCCACACGCCUUGAAUAAGUUAGCAUGGAAUAAUGACUAAGGACUUCGGUUCUAUUUUGUUGGUGUUCGGGACUGAAGUAAUGAUUGAUAGGGACAGUUGGGGCGGUCUGUAUUCCAAAGCGAGAGGUGAAAUUCUUAGACCUUCGGAAGACAAACAGCUGCGAAAGCGUUCCGCAAGGAUGUUCCCUUUGAUCAAGAACGAAAGUUGGGGGAUCGAAGACGAUCAGAUACCGUCGUAGUCUCAACUAUAAACUAUACCAGCUAGGGAUCGGUCAACGUUUAAUUAUUCGACUUGAUCGGCACCUUAUGAGAAAUCAAAGCAUCUGGGUUCCGGGGGGAGUAUGGUCGCAAGGCUGAAACUUAAAGGAAUUGACGGAAGGGCACCACCAGCCGUGGAGCCUGUGGCUUAAUUUGACUCAACACGGGAAAACUUACCAGGUCCAGACAUAGUAAGGAUUGACAGAUUGAUAGCUCUUUCUUGAUUCUGUGGGUGGUGGUGCAUGGCCGUUCUUAGUUGGUGGAGUGAUUUGUCUGGUUAAUUCCGUUAACGAACGAGACCCCAGCCUGCUAAAUAGCGCGGCUGAGCUUUGCUCGGUGCGAGCUUCUUAGAGGGACUAUGAUGCGCGAUAGCACAUGGAAGUUUGGGGCAAUAACAGGUCUGUGAUGCCCUUAGAUGUUCUGGGCCGCACACGGGCUACACUGGCGCCUGCAACGAGCAUAUCAGCUGGCCCGAGAGGGUCUUGGCUAAUCUUUUGAACCGGCGCCGUGCUUGGGAUUGACCUUUGCAAUUGUUGGUCAUGCAACGAGGAAUGCCUUGUAAACGCGAGUCAUCAGCUCGCAUUGAAUACGUCCCUGCCCUUUGUACACACCGCCCGUCGCUCCUACCGAUGAAUGUUCCGAUGAAAUUUUCGGAGAGCGCCGGAGAACGGGGCUCUGCCUUGCAGAUCUGGAGGCUCAAAGUCACUUAAAUCUGAACAUUUCGAGGAAGGAGAAGUCGUAACAAGGUACCG
rnacentral:rRNA from 1 species